GGGCCGUCGAACUUGAACACCGCCCACUCGGUGUCUGUGAGAUCGGAGCGCACGUCCUCGUAGGCCUCGCGGAUGGAGUCCUUGUCCAGCGAGGAAGUGCUGUCAUGGUUCGACCGAGCGGAUCGCCUCCACCUCCACCUCCACCCCCACCUCCGCCCAGCCGCCCUCGAGGCUGGCUUUCGCUUUCGAUUUUACUCAAUUCGAUCCAUUCCAAUCCGAUUUGAUUUAUUUCCGUGUCAGAGAGAAGCCAAAGCCCCGGCACGCCAUGCGCCGAGUUUCGGGAAAUACAUAGCAACUAUUUGUUCACAUUUUA
rnacentral:sRNA from 1 species